UUUAGCAGAAGAAGCGAAGUUAUUUGUUUAUUAUUUUUUUUUAAAUAUUGAUAUUUUUCUUUUUUAUAAAAAAAAAAUAUAAAAAAAUAAAUAAGUUCGCCUCUAGUAAAUGCGUUUUUAAAAAAUUAACCCUAAUAACAUUUUAUGAAAUUUUUAAUAAUAAACCUAGCAAACGUGUAAUAGCAAAAUAUGGCAAUUUUCAUCAAAUUUUAGAAUAUUUACUACGUCUCGGCAUACUUGGCAGCAUUGCUUUAUGCUUUAUCGAUCCAAGAUCUACUGGCGAGCGUCGUUCCCGUGUCACCCCAAUGUUAAAAAAUAUUAAUAUAUAGUAAUGUAAUAAAUUAUGUAGGUUGAAUAUUAACAAAUACGAAAAGUUUGGACUACCUGAUUUUAGUUAUUUUUCGAACUUUUGUCCACAAUCCUUUUUGGUUUGUGAUGUAGCGUUGAUGUGUUUACAAAUUUGCCGUACGCUGCAAUAUUAUUAAUAAUUGUUAUUAGUAGGCAACUAAUAACAAUUAAUAAUAUUAGGUACUUAGGUUAGAUUAGUAGGAUAUUUAGUAAAUUUUGUUUUUUUUUGUUUGAAUUUUUAAGCCUGUCUGCAAGCGACUGUCGCCGCGCCAUCGCGUCGCCUCGGUGCCGCCUUACCCCAUUGUUAAACAAUAAUGUUAUAUUAUAUUCAGGUAGAAUAAUGAGAAAAACGAAAAUUUUAGACUGGGUACCUGAAUAACUGUAACUUUUUACGUACCCUAACACUUUUUAGUUUGUGAUGUGCCGUUGUAUAUGGAAGUCUGUCAUGUGCUAUUUUUGUGAAAACUGUGAACUUUACUGUUAUAGUGUUUUUGUUUUUAUUGUGCAAGAGCAGUUAUUUUUUGAAAAAAUGGGAAAACGUAAAGACGGUAAAUCCAAGGUUUACUAUUCGCGCCGGAAAUCAAGGAAACACAAAAGAGUUAUUAUCUAACUAAUACUAAAAAAACAUCUCCUGAUACCAUAACUGACUACGUUAUAGAAGGAAGGAGAAUCGUAGAUAUUCAGAAGCUUUUUAAAGAAAUCCAGAAUUUAUCCAGACACCCUCCAUUUAAUUGCACAAUUGCAGAUAUGAACAUUUUGACGGAAAAUAGAAAAGGCUUAAAAAGUUCAAUUUUACUAAAGUGCAAAAUGUGCAAUUUAGAAAAAUACCUCAAUCUGUUUACUCAAGAUGAGUCUGAAACAUCCAUGGACAUAAAUGCCGCAGCAGCCUUAGCAACCAUUUCAACGGGUAUUGGAUUUACUGCCGCAGAAGAAUUUAUGGCCAUACUGGAUGUCCCUUUUAUGUCUCCAAAUACAUAUCAGCAGCACCAUGAGUUUGUGGGAGAAAAGAUAAGGGAAACGGCUUGAAAAGCAAUGGAGGAAGCCGCACAAGAAGAGAGUUUAUUGGCCAAAGAAUUAGGAGAAGUAGACCAAAAUAAUCGCCCCUGUAUCACUGUUGUGGCUGAUGGUGCUUGGAGCAAAAGGUCUUAUAAUGUUAAUUAUGAUGCUGCUUCAGGAGUUGCUUGUAUAAUUGGACAGAGGACCGGAAAACUUUUAUUUCUUGGCAUCCGAAAUAAAUACUGCAGCUUUUGUGCAUACGCCAGUGCCAAAAACAUGGAAGUCAUUCCAGAUCAUACAUGUUAUAAGAACUGGUCAAAUACAUCCACAAGUAUGGAAUCCGACAUAAUUGUGGAAGGAUUUCGAAAAAGUAUUGACAUGUAUAAUAUUAUUUAUAAAAGACUUGUUGGGGAUGGUGACAGUAGCGUCUAUAAAAAACUGAUCGAGGCUCGCCCAUAUGGAAGUUUACAUGUGGAGAAAAUUGAGUGCAGGAAUCAUUUAUUAAGAAAUUUUUGCUCCAAAUUGCGUGAAAUAUCUAAUAAGUUUAUUUAUCAUUAGCAUUAAUUUUUGAAAAAGCUAUUAAUUGUUCUUUAUUUAUUUUAGGUAAAAAAAGAAGCAACAGUACAAAUAAUCCGGUUUCACCAUACCUGCGCAAACAUAUUUUGAACAAUAUACGAAGGAUGAGAACUGCUGUGGCAAUGGCUGUUACUCAAAGAAAUAAAGAAGAUAAAAGCUUUAGUAUUAAAAUAGAAAAUCUUACUAAAGAUUUAAAAAAUAUACCAUCCCACGUAUUUGGAGAGCAUCUAAACUGUACAGCCAUAGGAUAUUUUAGAUGUGUAAAAAGUUUGGAGAAAAAAAUUAUAUUGAAGAAAUGAAGGCAUGUGGGGUUUUGCAAGACAUUGAAGUUUGUCUAAAUAGACUCAUAUUGCAUGCUUCCAGUUUGUUAAGAAAUAUGGACAAUAAUGUAGCUGAACAUUAUAACUCUGUGGUAUGCAAGUUUAUUGGCGGAAAGCGCAUCAAUUUUUCAAAAAGAAGGUCUUAUCAAAUACGGUGUGAAGCUGCAGCCCUAUCUUAUAAUCUUGGAAGCGGAGAAUACCACAAACAAAUUUUUAAAUCAAUUGCUGAAAAAAGUCCUUCUGGUCAUACAAAAAAAUUUAUUAAUAGAGUUAAACAAAGACGUAUUAAUACUCUUAAAAUAAGACCAAAAACCCUAUUUAAAAAACGAAAUAAAUCAAUUGCGCUUCCUGAUAAAGAUUAUGGGGAUCAGGAGGCAGAUAAUAGCAUACAGCCAGACAUGGAAGAAAAUUUAUUUGAAGAAAAAAAAAAGGAAUUUUUAGAAGAACUCGAAAAUUUAGAAGAAAUGAAAAUGAGAUUAAGGAUUUAGAGAUUAGUACCAGAGGACAAGGAGGAAAUCCAAAGUGGUAUCAAGAAAGGAGUUUAAGGCUUACAGCGUCAAAUUUUGGAAAUAUUUGCAAAAUGCUAGAAAAAACAAAUUGCAAAAAUAAAGUAAAAGCAAUUCUUUAUUCCAAGUUUCGGGGCAAUAAACACACUAAGUAUGGCACCGAAAAAGAACCAUUUGCUAUUCAACAAUUUGAGGAAACCUACAAUUUAAAAGUUGAAAUGUGUGGUCUUUUUAUUGAUUCCGAAUGUUGUGCUUUGGCUGCUAGCCCUGAUGGGCUAGUUGGCUCAAGAGGAUUAGUAGAAGUAAAGUGCCCAUCAACAGCUUCAGCAAUCAGCCCUACAGAAGCUAUCAAUAAAAAAAUAAUCAAGUUUGCCACCCUUGAUGAAAAUGGACAGAUGCAUUUAAAACAGAACCAUGAUUAUUUUUAUAAAAUCCAAGGCCAGCUUCAUAUCACAAAAAGAGAUUUUUGUUAUUUUAUUUUAUGGACACCUAUGGGGAUGCUGGUAGAACAGAUUUGGCGGCAGGACUCAUUCUGGAAUGACAAAAUGAUAGGAAAAUUAAAAAGUUUCUAUUACAAUUGUUUAUUACCGGAAAUUAUCGACCCGCGAUAUAGUAGAGGACUGGAAAUAAGAAAUCCAUCGAGAAAAUAACAACAUUUCAAUUUUAAAAUAGGUAUAUUAAUAGAUUUUUGCAAAUAUAAAACUGUACUUUUUAAAAUAAAAUUUAAAAUAUAAGUAUGUAUAUAAUUGUUUUUUCAAUAAGAUUAGGGUAAAAUGUAUAACAGUUCAAAAAAGAUGUAUAAAAAAAACAAUUAUACAUAGAUUUUGUAUAAAAAAUGUAUAUUUUUUUAAAAAUGCCUUUUAAAAACUCCCCCGUACAUCAUUAACAAAAAGUCUCGCAAAAAGUUUAAUAAUAAUUGUAGCAAAAAAAAAAUUAUAUGAAAUAGGAUCGAGCACCCCAUUUCAAAGAAAAAUUUUGCCAAUAAUCGACAAUCGUAAUGUCUCAUUAUUCAAGUUUCAUAAUUCCCCGCGCCAUGCUAUGCCAUCCUCACCAGAUUUAUAUGACACGCGAGAACCUAUCGGUUUGGUCGCCGCUUUGAAAUGACCCCUUCCCUUCAUCCUUCCGCUGAGUGUUGCCAUAUGUUGGGUGAGCCAAAAAAUCGCCUAUAUUUUGAAAUCCGAGUUGGUCACGUGCUGAUGGAUGCUCUUAAG
rnacentral:lncRNA from 1 species